rnacentral:rRNA from 1 species
UCUGGUUGACCCUGCCAGUAGCAUAUGCUUGUCUCUGAGACUAAGCCAUGCAUGUCUAAGUAUAAAUUAAUUUUUACGGUGAAACUGCGGACGGCUCAUUAAAUCAGUUAUAACCUACUUGAUCGUGUGACUUUAUUCGGAUAACCCUAGUAAUUCUAGAGCUAAUACGUGCUAAAAGCCUUAACUUCCAGCAAUGGGGGAAGAGGUGUAUUUAUUAGAAACUAAAACCAAUCAGCUUCGGCUGUUUGAGAUGAUUCAUAAUAACUCGGCAAAUUACGGGAAAAUUCCUGUGAUGAUUCAAACGGAUUUCUGACCUAUCAACUUUAGAUGGCAAAGUAGGGGUUUGCCAUGGUGACAACGGGUGACGGGGAAUUAGGGUUCGAUUCCGGAGAGGGAGCCUGAGAAACGGCUACCACUUCCGAGGAAGGCAGCAGGCGCGCAAAUUACCCAAUGCUAAUUCGGCGAGGUAGUGACAAGAAAUACCAAUGUAGGACCCAACGGGUACUACGUUUGGAAUGAGAACAAUUUAAAAACCUUAACGAGGAACAAUUGGAGGGCAAGUCUGGUGCCAGCAGCCGCGGUAAUUCCAGCUCCAAUAGUGUAUAUUAAAGUUGCUGCGGUUAAAAAGCUCGUAGUUGGAUUACGAAGUGGUGUUUAAAUGUCAUUUUGGUUUGUUUGUCUUUCGGGGCAUUCAGGUCAACUUGGCUUUUACUCACUGUUGUCAUUGUCUUUGCCCAAGGUAUAUGCCUUGUGUGCAUGGCAUUGACCUUCUAUUUUAUGGUAAUGUUGUAUCUUUCGGGGUACAUUCAUUCCAUAUAGUUUACUUUGAAAAAAUUAGGGUGUUUAAAGCAGGCGAAAAGGCUUCGGAAUAUAUUAGCAUGGGAUAAUAGAAUACGAUCUAGGUCGUAAUUUGUUGGUUUCUACGGCUUAGGUAAUGAUUGACAGGGAUAGUUGGGGUCGCUCGUAUUGAGUUGUCAGAGGUGAAAUUCUAGGAUUAACUCAAGACGAACUAAUGCGAAAGCAUUCGGCAAGGAUGUUUUCAUUAAUCAAGAACGAAAGUUGGGGGAUCGAAGAUGAUCAGAUACCGUCGUAGUCUCAACUGUAAACUAUGUCGACCGAGGAUCCGGUAGCGUUACAUGGAUGACCUUCCGGGCACUCUGUGAGAAAUCAUAAGUAUUUGGAUUUCGGGGGGAGUAUGGUCGCAAGGCUGAAACUUAAAGGGAUUGACGGAAGGGCACCACCAGGAGUGGAAUCUGCGGCUUAAUUUGACCCAACACGGGAAAACUUACCAGGUCCGGAAACAGUGAGG